rnacentral:rRNA from 1 species
AGUGAACGCUGGCGGUAGGCCUAACACAUGCAAGUCGAACGGCAGCACAGUAAGAGCUUGCUCUUACGGGUGGCGAGUGGCGGACGGGUGAGGAAUACAUCGGAAUCUACUUAGUCGUGGGGGAUAACGUAGGGAAACUUACGCUAAUACCGCAUACGACCUACGGGUGAAAGCAGGGGAUCUUCGGACCUUGCGCGAUUGAAUGAGCCGAUGUCGGAUUAGCUAGUUGGCGGGGGAAAGGCCCACCAAGGCGACGAUCCGUAGCUGGUCUGAGAGGAUGAUCGGCCACACUGGAACUGAGACACGGUCCAGACUCCUACGGGAGGCAGCAGUGGGGAAUAUUGGACAAUGGGCGAAAGCCUGAUGCAGCCAUGCCGCGUGGGUGAAGAAGGCCUUCGGAUUGUAAAGCUCUUUUGUUGGGAAAGAACAGAAGCAGGUUUAAACCCGGCCGUUCUGACGGUACCCAAACAAUAAGCACCGGCUAACUUCGUG